rnacentral:rRNA from 1 species
GAUGAACGCUAGCGGCAGGCUUAAUACAUGCAAGUCGAGGGGCAGCAUGACUGUAGCAAUACAGUUGAUGGCGACCGGCAAACGGGUGCGGAACACGUACAGAACCUUCCUUCAAGCGGGGAAUAGCCCAGAGAAAUUUGGAUUAAUACCCCAUAGUAUUACGAAGUGGCAUCACUUUGUACUUAAAGAUUUAUCACUUGAAGAUGGCUGUGCGGCUGAUUAGGUAGUUGGCGGGGUAACGGCCCACCAAGCCUGCGAUCAGUAACUGGUGUGAGAGCACGACCAGUCACACGGGCACUGAGACACGGGCCCGACUCCUACGGGAGGCAGCAGUAAGGAAUAUUGGUCAAUGGACGAAAGUCUGAACCAGCCAUGCCGCGUGGAGGAUGAAGGUCCUCUGGAUUGUAAACUUCUUUUAUAUGGGACGAAAAAGGGUCUUUCUAGAUCAACUGACGGUACCAUAUGAAUAAGCACCGGCUAACUCCGUGCCAGCAGCCGCCGUAAAAC